UGCAACAGCUCUUUGACUCCGCCAACAUGGUCGUGAUGGUGAUGCGUCAGAAAAAUCGCCUCCGGCAUCCACUUAUGUUCAGCAAUGGCCUUUAAGACGGGGGCCGCUUCGCCGGGAUCAACAAUCAUCGGUAAACGGCGGCCGUAACUAUAACGGUCCUAAGGUAGCGAAAUUCCUUGUCGGGUAAGUUCCGACCUGCACGAAUGGCGUAAUGAUGGCCAGGCUGUCUCCACCCGAGACUCAGUGAAAUUGAAC
rnacentral:rRNA from 1 species